rnacentral:rRNA from 1 species
CCAUUCAAUGGAGGCAGCAGGCGCGCAAUUACCCAAUCCUGACUCAGGGAGGUAGUGACAAGAAAUAACAAUAAACCGGCUUAUGCCGGUUUAAUUGGAAUGAGUACAAUUUAAACAUCUUAACGAGGAACAAUUGGAGGGCAAGUCUGGUGCCAGCAGCCGCGGUAAUUCCAGCUCCAAUAGCGUAUACUAAAGUUGUUGCAGUUAAAAAGCUCGUAGUUGGAUUUCUGUGGGGACGGAGCGGCCGGCCGCACAUCGCGGUUCGAGCUAGCGCUUUCCCUACAUCCUGCCGCGAACCGUGCUACCAUUAGUUUGGUGGCGCCGGGGAUCGGCUCGAUUACUUUGAGAAAAAUAGAGUGUUCAAAGCAGGCCACAUGCCUUGAAUAAGUUAGCAUGGAAUAAUAACUAAGGACUUCGGUUCUAUUUUGUUGGUGUUCGGGACUGAAGUAAUGAUUGAUAGGGACAGUUGGGGCGGUCUGUAUUCCAAAGCGAGAGGUGAAAUUCUUAGACCUUCGGAAGACAAACAGCUGCGAAAGCGUUCCGCAAGGAUGUUCCCUUUGAUCAAGAACGAAAGUUGGGGGAUCGAAGACGAUCAGAUACCGUCGUAGUCUCAACUAUAAACUAUACCAGCUAGGGAUCGGCCAACGUUAUUUUAUACCGACUUGGUCGGCACCUUAUGAGAAAUCAAAGCAUCUGGGUUCCGGGGGGAGUAUGGUCGCAAGGCUGAAACUUAAAGGAAUUGACGGAAGGGCACCACCAGCCGUGGAGCCUGUGGCUUAAUUUGACUCAACACGGGAAAACUUACCAGGUCCAGACAUAGUAAGGAUUGACAGAUUGAUAGCUCUUUCUUGAUUCUGUGGGUGGUGGUGCAUGGCCGUUCUUAGUUGGUGGAGUGAUUUGUCUGGUUAAUUCCGUUAACGAACGAGACCCCAGCCUGCUAAAUAGCGCGCGUGAGCUUUGCUCGCGGCGAGCUUCUUAGAGGGACUAUGAUGCGCGAUAGCACAUGGAAGUUUGGGGCAAUAACAGGUCUGUGAUGCCCUUAGAUGUUCUGGGCCGCACACGGGCUACACUGGCGCCUGCAACGAGCAUAUCAGCUGGCCCGAGAGGGUCUUGGCUAAUCUUUUGAACCGGCGCCGUGCUUGGGAUUGACCUUUGCAAUUGUUGGUCAUGCAACGAGGAAUGCCUUGUAAACGCGAGUCAUCAGCUCGCAUUGAAUACGUCCCUGCCCUUUGUACACACCGCCCGUCGCUCCUACCGAUGAAUGUUCCGAUGAAAUUUUCGGAGAGCACCUGUGAACUUGGCUCUGCCUUGCGAACGGGAGGCUCAAAGUCACAUAAAUCUGAACAUUGAG